ensembl:lncRNA novel transcript
AAUACGUUCUCAUUUUUCUGAAAUACCACCAACAUUUUCCUGGAACUUUACUUCGGCCUCUUUCCCUGUAAUGUGAGACAGUCUGAUACAUCUGCAGUGCCCUUGCUAUAUGCAUUACACGCUAUGACUAGGCACCGGGCUGGGUCAACUCUACGCCAAGGUUAUAUUCAGGGUCGUAUACUUGAUU